rnacentral:rRNA from 1 species
UCGAACCAUCAAGUAGCUGGUUCCCUCCGAAGUUUCCCUCAGGAUAGCUGGAACUUGAAGAAAUAGUUUUAUCAGGUAAAGCGAAUGAUUAGAAGCUCUGGGGAUGAAACAUCCUCGACUUAUUCUCAAACUUUAAAUAGGUAAGAUGAUUGCAGUACUUAAUUGACUGUCAGUCUCUUGAAUAGUAAGUUCUUAGUGGGCCAUUUUUGGUAAGCAGAACUGGCGAUGUGGGAUGAACCAAACGUAAAGUUAAAGUGCCUAAAAGUACGUUCAUCAGAUACCACAAAAGGUGUUGAUUCAUCUUGACAGUUGGACAGUGGCCAUGGAAGUCGGAAUCUGCUAAGGAGUGUGUAACAACUCACCAACCGAAUGAAUUAGCCCUGAAAAUGGAUGGCGCUUAAACGUACUACUUAUAC